rnacentral:rRNA from 1 species
GAUGAACGCUGGCGGCGUGCCUAAUACAUGCAAGUCGAGCGAACGGACGAGAAGCUUGCUUCUCUGAUGUUAGCGGCGGACGGGUGUGUAACACGUGGAUAACCCACUUAUAAGACUGGGAUCAUUUCGGGAAACCGGAGCUAAUCCCGGAUAAUAUUUUGAACCGCAUGGUUCAAAAGAGAAAGACGGUCUUGCUGUCUCUUAUAGCUGGAUCCGCGCUGCAUUAGCUAGUUGGUAAGGUCACGGCUUACCAAGGCAACUAUGCAUAGCCGACCUGAGAGAGUGAUCGGCCACACUGGAACUGGAACGCGGUCCAGACGCCUACGGGAGGCAGCAGUAGGGAAUCGGCCGCAAUGGGCGAAAGCCUGACGGAGCAAGGGCGCGUGAGUGAUGAAGGUCUUCGGAUCGUAAAGCUCGGUUAUUGGGGAAGAACAGAUGUGUAAGGAGCUGUGGACAGCUUGACGGUACCUAAUCAGGAAGCAACGGCUAACUACGUG